UUUCUUCAACAUUAAUCCUAAAUAGGUUUGUUUUUUCACUGCGGUUAUUUGGGUCGGAUAAUAUUAUCGACACUUUGAAAUCCAACGAGAAAUGAAAGGCAACGAGAUUGUGGAUUUAGGUAUUGCGUAAUUCAAGUUUUUUUUUUUCGGUUUAGUUAGUGACUAACAUAACAAUUUAAAAAUUUUACGAUAAUUUUUUAUUUUUGAAAUUAGAUUCUAACUCAAUCAUUGGAAUGGAAGGCUUCGGAAAGAUAAGUUUAUGCAUCAACUUGUAACGCGGUCGAAGUGGUGUCUUACGGCGCCACCAACAUGAUCAGGGUAGCUCUCUACCACCACCAAUGGUUAUAGUACCAACAAAGGCACAUGAUGCCGGCUCUUAAUUUCCCGGUGGUGCCUCUGAAGAACUUCAGGUCAACCAUUUGAUUUCCCAAUGUGCCUCUGAAGAAAUAUAGGCGGCCCUCCUAAUUUCCAAAUGGUGCCAGCAGCAGAAGAACCAGGUUCUGAGUAGGUAAAUAUUUUUAAAAUAGUAUAGCCAGACAAAAAUCAUUUACUUUGUCAAACAUAUCACACAAUUAAGUCGAUAAAUUUUUAAAUUUGACCAUCAAAAAAUUUAACAACUUUCACGUCAAACUCGUAAUAUUCCCGCGAGGUCUUCGAAGAACUUCGGGCCAACCUCUUAAUGAGUAGAAGUUAGACAAGAACAAACAUAUAUGGAGGGUUUAGCUAGCGUUCACCUUGCUUGUAUACAAAUAUUAUUAUUUUGGAUAUUGUGAUGUUGUUAAUUAUGAUAAUCUCUUCAUGUAAGUUGACCUUUUUUGUUCAAAAUAUAAUUUAACUUUGAUUCACAUGUAAGCAUAGGGGUUUUGGAUCAAUAACUCUUUGAUUUUCACAUAAUUUAUAUAUAU
rnacentral:lncRNA from 1 species